rnacentral:rRNA from 1 species
GGCGAACCGUGCGAACGUUAUUCGGAAUCACUGGGCGUAAAGCGCACGUAGGCGGAUUGUUAAGUCAGGGGUGAAAUCCUGGAGCUCAACUCCAGAACUGCCUUUGAUACUGGCGAUCUUGAGUCCGGGAGAGGUGAGUGGAACUGCGAGUGUAGAGGUGAAAUUCGUAGAUAUUCGCUAGAACACCAGUGGCGAAGGCGGCCAACUGGUCCGAUACUGACGCUGAGGUGCGAAAGCGUGGGGGAGCAAACAGG